ACUUUGCUCAAAUAUAAUUCCAAUGUGUUUAUUUAAAAACAGCUUUACAUGUAGCAACCUUCUUGCCCCUUCCAUUCAGUUACAAUAAAAUAAAAUAAUAAAGACCCAAAGGCAAAAUAAGCCAGAACUGAUUCAAGCUCGUGACUGGAGCCACCUGAAGGCAGGUAAACUCUAAGCGUACAGCCAGGUCUGUUUGGCCAGCGCUCCCAUAUAUGGUCACACAUCCUUAUGGCUCUGCGUUGAACACUGAAUGCAUAAAAAAACACAAAAAAACAACACUGUACAGAGUAUCAAGCACAACGACACACACCAUAACUAUAUUCAGUGGUUCUGACAACUGCUGUGUGAUGCUUUACAUUUGGGAGUGGAAGACAGAGCAGGCGUUAAAAGUCGUGUAUAAACAGGUUAUGUAUUUCAUAAGCUGUUCUGGAUGAGGGGUUGAAUGGUGGGUCACGUUGCCUCAGAGUAGAGCCCAAAUUAAAAACUAUUAGGCAAAAUGGCAACCUACUGUCUUCAGAAAAUGUAAGCACUAAGAGCAUAUAGAUUACAUAUGUCAAGAAAAAAAAAUCAGGUUUUCAUUGUUUUCCCAGCUAAUAUAGAAAAAGUUUCCCAGGUUUUAACUUCACACCCACUGCUGGAGACAACCAGCAGCAACAUUACACUGCACUCAUCUGCCACCACCAACACCAACCCUACGCAUCGCUGACUACAGGAAACGUUUCCUGUUACAUCACAAACUGACUGACUCAAAAUCAUAAAACAGCAACACAAAAUAUGUUGAAAUGACCUAAUAAAGCAUUUGCAUGUGUACAAUCAAGUAGUCUAUCAUCCAACCACCAGCAAAGUAAACAAGUCUGGCCAUCAAAGCCAUUUAAAUACGAAGACGUUCAAGGAUUUAGGCACAACUCAACGAUAAACUAAAGGUUUGCCUUCAAAACGGACAAAAAGGUGACAUUUCUACCCUUUUUUUGCAUUUGAUUUAAAUAUUAACUUUGCAGUCUUCCUUCACAAUUCUGUCACUAUAUAAAGACUGCAGGUUGACAACAGGUCAGACUCGUAAAACCACCUGUGUAGUUUAAGUCUAACUAGGACUUCAUCUAGAGUUUGACGGAAACAUUUGCACCAGGCUCAUUUUCUUGUACGUGCUUCAGUCUUCACUUGAAGAGAAAGCGGACCCAAACUUUGCUGACUUCUUCAGAUGAGAGCUUAGGGGCACAAACAGGAUGCAGAAACAGGCUGUUGUAUAACUUCCUGCCAGUUUAUGGACUCAGAUCAGAGGCUAAUGGUCACAGAAGACUAUCAGUAAUAGCUGCCGUUUAUUCAAAUGAUAAAAUCAGCCAAACGUCUUGGAUCAUAAUUGUUAUGAGCAGAAUUGCAGCUUUAAAUUAAAACUAGAACGUUUCAAAUCUGCUCUAUGCACUGAUGUUUUGAUAAAUAGGCUAUAAUCCCAUUUUCCAGUCAGUGCAGAAGUUACAGAACAGCAACUCUGGGUCCAAACGGGCCAAUUGAAACUAGAGAUGAGUCACAAGAUUCAUGAAAUAAAACAAAAAGA